rnacentral:rRNA from 1 species
AGAAUCAACGCUGGCGGCGUGCCUAACACAUGCAAGUCGAACGCGAGAGGGGGAGCAAUCCCUGAUUGAGUGGCAAACGGGUGAGUAACACGUGGGUGACCUGCCUCAGAGUGGGGGAUAACGUCCCGAAAGGGACGCUAAUACCGCAUAACACUCCUGCCUUUGGAAAGGCGGAGAUCAAAGCCGGGGAUCGACAAGACCUGGCGCUUGGAGACGGGGCCCGCGUCUGAUUAGCUAGUUGGUAGGGUAAUGGCCUACAAGGCUACGAUCAGUACUCCGGCCUGGACGGAGGGCCGGACGGACACGCGUCGGACUGAGACACGGCCAGACUCGACGGGAGCAGCGAGGU